rnacentral:rRNA from 1 species
CAAAAACAUGUUUUUUUGAUUUUGAUUGAAGGUUUGGCCUGCCCAAUGAAGUUUAAAUGGCCGCAGUAUUUUGACUGUGCAAAGGUAGCAUAAUCAUUAGUUUCCUAAUUAGGAGCUGGAAUGAAAGGUUUGAUGAGAAAUCAGCUGUCUCAUGGUUAUUGUGAUUGAAUUUUAUUUUUGAGUUAAAAAGCUCAAAUUUUGUAUAGGGACGAGAAGACCCUAUAGAGUUUUAUUAUUUUCAUUUUUAUAGGGAGAAGGUUAGGUUGAUUAUAAAAUUUGAAUUAAUUUUGUUGGGGUGAUGGAAAAAUUUAUUUAACUUUUUUUUUAUUUUUACACUAUUGAGUGAUUUUUUGAUCCUUUUUUUAAGAUUAUAAGAUUAAAUUACCUUAGGGAUAACAGCGUAAUUUCUUUUGAAAGUUCAUAUUUAUAAAGGAGUUUGCGACCUCGAUGUUGGAUUAAAGUUAAUUUUUGGUGUAGAGGCUAAAAUAUUAGGUCUGUUCGACCUUUGAAACUUUACAUGAUCU